rnacentral:tRNA from 1 species
GCGAGCGUGGCGGAAUUGGUAGACGCACUGGAUUUAGAUUCCAGCGAUGAGAGUCGUGGGGGUUCGAGUCCCCCCGCUCGCA